GACGAACGCUGGCGGCGUGCUUAACACAUGCAAGUCGAACGGAGUUGCUCCUUCGGGAGUAACUUAGUGGCGAACGGGUGAGUAACGCGUGAGAAACCUGCCUUUCAGUGGGGGACAACAGUUGGAAACGACUGCUAAUACCGCAUAAUGUUAUUUGGGGGCAUCCCCGAAUAACCAAAGAUUUAUUGCUGAAAGAUGGUCUCGCGUCUGAUUAGCUAGUUGGUGAGGUAACGGCCCACCAAGGCAACGAUCAGUAGCCGGUCUGAGAGGAUGAACGGCCACAUUGGGACUGAGAUACGGCCCACGACUCCUACGGGAGGCAGCAGUGGGGAAUAUUGGGCAAUGGGGGGAAACCCUAGACCCAGCAACGCCGCGUGAAGGAAGAAGGC
rnacentral:rRNA from 1 species